CCCGGGAGUCUCCCGCAAAUUGAUGGUGCUACCUCCCUGAAAUGAGUUUUUGCAGGGUGGGAUGUCUGCUUUUAUUCGGCCAACAACAGCGGUGUCCUCAGUAAACCUGAAUAUGGUAUUGGAGCUGAAUUAAGCCGGAAAGCAUGAGUAUCAACCGUGUAUCACCCAGUCUUGUGGUACAUCUGUUCUGAUGGUCUACACUCUGAACAUCGCUGACCAUCAACGACUUUCAGCUCAAACAUUAACCAAUACCAAUGAUAGGUAACUUUACAGGUUUCUGUCUUUUUAUUCCCGAACUACCUAUGGUCAUUCCUGUUACUCCAGAUUGUCAGCACUCCGCUCCCCAGUCCCGCCUGCCUGCUGAUCCAGUCCGGGUUUGUGGUGUGGCUGGACUGGCGCGGCCGCCAUGAGGCCGUUCUCCAGGCGCUCGGCGAAGCCGCUGCUGUUCGGGGCGGUGGGUGCGGUGCUGGCGGCCGGCUUCCUCUACAGGCGCAGCUUCUUCCCCGACAUUGAAGAGAUCCGAGCUCGAGAGCAGCAGAAAUACAGUGAGAAGCUGCAGCUGGUUCUCGAACGAAGGGAGAGGCAGCUACUGGAAAUAGAGCAGAAGAAAUCAGCCCGGUGAGCUUGGGAAAGAGCUGAACAAUGUCACUACGUAAUGGCUGCUUAUCCUGCUCUAGGAGACUGCCAACAGGCACCUGAAUCCGACCAUUAAGACUAAAAGGAAAACGAGUACUGAAUCAAAAUACUUUUAGUGAAAUUUGCCUUAAAGAAUCACACCAAGUAAUCUGAUAUGUUUCUACAUUGUACACCGUAUGCUGUAAUAAAUCAUUUCUAAUAUCAUUUUAA